UACGGAGGGAGCUAGCGUUGUUCGGAAUUACUGGGCGUAAAGCGCACGUAGGCGGCUUUGUAAGUUAGAGGUGAAAGCCCGGAGCUCAACUCCGGAAUUGCCUUUAAGACUGCAUCGCUUGAAUCCAGGAGAGGUGAGUGGAAUUCCGAGUGUAGAGGUGAAAUUCGUAGAUAUUCGCAAGAACACCAGUGGCGAAGGCGGCUCACUGGCCCGAUACUGACGCUGAGGCACGAAAGCGUGGGGAGCAAACAGG
rnacentral:rRNA from 1 species